UGGUCCUUUCUCUGUUACUGC
rnacentral:siRNA from 1 species